rnacentral:lncRNA from 13 species
UCUCCAAUAUGGUAAAAGGACCGUGGAGGAAAACAGAUUGGAAAUCCUCUGCCCACCAUUGUGAUGGAACUAUUACUAGAAUGGAUCAAUGAGAUAAUGAUUCCCACCCAACCUUUGUAAUUAGAACUAAUUCUCAUUCUAUGAUCCAACCUAAAAACCAGUUGGGAUUGAAAGUGAUUGAUCUGGGAACAUGUCUGUCACAUAUUCUCCCUGCCCCCAUUCACUGGACAGACUUCCAUCUGAAAGGCUAACUCAAUUGGUUCCUGAGGCCCAUUGCUCUGCCCCAGUUAACCUCUGAUUGAGUGAAUGGUAAUAGUAGCAGUAGUAGUUGUGGUGGUGGUGGUUCUCGUAAUGGGGAGGCCUAUCUGUACUGUGUCUGUAGAUGUGUAGAUCUAUGGAUGUGUGUCAGUGGUGUUUGAAUGAAGAGGAGACCCCCCAGUAGAGAAGACAGCAUUUCACACAUUCCCCUGUCUACAACAAGAUUAGAUAUCACUGCUGUGACUCUGUAAGGAUGACAGGCUUGCCCCACACUCACUUGCGCGCACACACACACACACACACACACACACACACACACACAAACUCUCUGUUUACACUCCUACUGUUGUACGGGACAUUGAUGGGACAAGGGUGCGUUGAAGGAGUUAUUUUUAACUGUAUUCUUUUUUUCUUCUAUCCUUUUCUUUCUUACAUCUUAUUUUCUUUCUCGAUUUAUUUCCUCUUGUGCCUGCUUUCCUUUUUUCAGUCAUGUCUUACAAUCGUGAUAACAUGAUGUGAGGCUCAAGCACUGUCAGUUCGUCAAGACAAAUGUAAAUGAUGUUUGUUGCCAUUGUCCAGUGAGACAUUUUAGAUUCCAUCAACUGAUCUGAACAAUUGAAACCAAAAUGGAAGUCAAGUCUCUUUAGAACAUAACGGACAAGGAUGCUGCAAAUACAAAUGGUAUGAUAUAGGCAGAGAGGUUGGAAAACCAAUAGGGUUCAGUGACGGGACCAUGUGAGGGGGGGGUUAUUUUCUGGUCAGGUGGUCAAGAACAACUCCUGGCCUUACCUAUAAGAUCUAGGAACUGCAGACACUUCAAAGUAACCCUUGAUUUUACUAAUCCUGAGAGUCAGGUGACACAAUCCAUUGCGCUUCUUCUUCUGAGACGGAGCUGCAGAGCCGCCCAUCCUGUUCUGUCAUUCACCGCCCACGAUUGGCCAGCAACAUGUAACCGCCGGAAACAACUGACUGAAAAGACACAAAAAACAACCCUCUGCUGCUUGAGAACAAAUACAACCACAGGAAACAAACAUAACACAAAACAACAAAAAACGUAUUCUGGUAACUUGACCAAAUGACUCUGGUUCUGUACCUGAUUUCACCUGAGACUGUUCAGAGCCACCAGAGGGAUUAAAAGGAAAUGGGUCCAGAGGAGUUCGUAAAUGAAUUACAAUUACACACUAGAACCUUUUUACUAACACAUUUGUCACAAUGAGCUAAACAGAACUAAGGCCUAGAGCUGCUUUCAAUCCAGGUUUCAAACAAGCCUCAAACAUACUGUAUGUUUUCUCUAAAGAGGUCAGAUGUUGGGAGUGACAGUAAUUGUGAUGGGUCGUGUCAGGGGACAGGCUAGGUACUGGAGGAACACGGUAGCAGGGGUAGAACAGGACGACAGGUCUGGAGGGCUCACCUGACACACUGAGUGUGUUCAGUCUCUUCACAUUUUGCUAGGAGAAUUGUGUUGCGCCUGUUCAUGUUGUGUUAGGGUUCACAUUAUGGUUGAGUUCAUAUUGUGUUAGUAUUUCCAACGGCAUAACUGUGCCUCUGUAGGGACAGGGGGAUCAGAUAGACGUUAGUCUCACAAACAAAGAUUUAUUGUACCUGAAAUAAGUCACAAUUUUACCACCGCAGUCACAGUAAUGACUGAUAAGCCAUUGGAUAAACUACUAUUUUCAAUUCAAAAUGACGUUAUUGUAUUUUUAAUAGAGGCAAUACAACUACUCACCCACGCGUGACCUACCUGUGCGUUGACUGUGAUCAGACAUUCACUUGGUUAUCAGUGAGUAAUACAGUAGGAACAGAAUAGGAGGAGGAAAGUAAAGAAGAGCUUAUAAAUCAUGUGGCCCACCUACAUGGUCUCUCUCUCUCUCUCUCUCUCUCUCUCUCUCUCUCUCUCUCUCUCUCUCUCUCUCUCUC